AUUUCCUUGACCUGGGAGUUAAGACUGCCACCCAGCCACCUUGUGCUCUCCAUGCUGCUGAUUCAACAGGCAAAUAAGGAAGUUAUGGUGUGGGCUACAGUGAUUGAUCUGACUAACAAGAGGGAAAUUGCUCCACCAUGGGGGUGAGGGAGAGUACAUCUGGAAUACAGAAGUUCCCUUAGGACACCCUUAGUGUUCCCACACAUUGCGAUUAAGGCCAGUGGAAAACUACAAUAACUCAGUUCAGGCGGAACAACUCAUGGGGCAGAAUCUUCAAGGAAUGAAGAUUUGAGUCCUUCUACCAGGUUUUGCAGAGUGCCUCCAGAAAUAAAAGUGUUACAAAAGAAUCACUUCAGAAAACCUACACUUAGAGAGUCCAUUUGAAAAUUGCCCUAUUUGAAAUGAAGUGGAGAUCAGUAAUAACAAGGACUUCCCCAUAUAACCCAAGGUCCUACUGGGUUAGUGUGAUCUUCUGCGGAAGGCUGCAGCUGCUGUCAGGAGGCCCUCUGUCUACACUCCUCUCUGGAGAAGUGUAAGUGUUUUGUCAGGUAAAUACUUCGUCACUCUCCAGCGUAGCAGUGAGAAUCAUCCCUCCUAUCUCUAGCAUCAGAGUCCCUCCUAUUGUUUCUAACCACCCACCCCCCGUAUCCUUGUAAAUAAUCUCUUUAUUAAAUUGUCUGCAAAUUACUUCAUUUUAAUGUGCUGUCCAUUUCCUUUUGGGACCCUGGCUGAUAUUGAUACUGAUGUUGGGUAAUUACUGAUUAUUGAUACUGAUAGUUGACACUGAUACCGAUAAUAAUUAUUAUUAAUAGCUAAUAUCCAUAAUUUGAUACUGAUUAUCAGAAAAGGAUACUGACACUCUAGGAUAUUAGCAGGAUCAGUAAAUACUGACACUGAUACUGAUAUUAAUACUGGCUGCUACUGCUAGGUAAUUACUAGGUCUGUCUAUCAAUCUAUCCAUCUAUCUAGGAUGUUCUCACUCUUGUAAAUAUCUCUAUAAAGCCUUGUCAAACAGAAAAAGGAGACAAUGUGAAAGGGUCUUGUGUACAUUUAGUCUCUAUUCAUCUAUUACAAGUUUCCUUUCUAAACCAAAUAGUUCUAUAUUGUUUUGGAGACUAUCUAACCCUCAUUAAUUAGCUGUUUUAUUUCUAUUUCUUUAUUGCUCAUAUAUAACAAUAGGAAAACUUGGUUAGUCAGUUAAUUAACAAAUAUUUAGUAAUGUAUAUUAUUAUAUGACUUGAGACAUGAUAAACAUGUUCUAAAAGUGUGGAACACAACAUUUGAUAAGAAAGGCAGAAUCUCCAUCUUCAAAGAGAUUGCAUUAUAGUGGAAAGAGCCAGACAAUAUAUAAAUAUAUAAACCAAGAAAUAAGAUCAUUAAGGUACUGAUAAGUGUUAUGAAGAAGAUGAAACGGGGUGAUUUUGACAGACAUUGACUGUAACAGGACCAGUUGUUUUAGAGAGCAUCAGAGCAGCUCUUCAUGAGGAGGAGCAUCAGAGAAGCUCUUCAUGAGGAGGAGCCUCAUGAAGGUGAAACCUAAAUGAUGAGAAGCCAGCUAUGUAAGAGGAGCAUUUGACACAGAAGGAACCAUAAGUACAAAUGUAAUGAGAUGAGAAAUUUCUUUGGUAUGUUGAAGACAUCAGGACAGGUGAGUAGCAUGCACCUGUGUCCCAGCUACACCAGAGGCUGAGGCAGGAGGAUUGUGUGAGCCCAGGAGCUUGAGGAUGCAGUGAGUUAUGACCAUAGCACUGCACUCCAUCCUUUUGUGAUGUCUUUUUUUUUUUAAGAAACGUCACUGUGUUCCGGGUGACAGAGCAAGAUGACAUUUCUGAAAAAAAAAUGGGGGGACAUCACAAAAGACCAUGGAUAAAACUAAGUAAACCAGAGAAACAAGAAGGAAGAGAGAGAGAUGAAUUGGGUGCAUUGGCAAAGCCAGAUAAUGUUAGAAUGACCAGGCCAUGGGAAGAGUCAGGUUCAAAACAUACUUAGAAGCCACUGGAGACUUUUAAAUGGGCAUAGGAGGAUCUGAUUUGUAGUUUAGAAUGAUUUCUCUGGCUGCUGCGUGUAGAACAGAUCCUAUGUAAGGGAGCAAAUGUGGAGGCAGAAAAGCUACUGCAGAGGUGAUAACAUUAGCUAAAAGAUCACAGUAUCUGGGGAAAGGGUGGUUGCGGUAGAGAGAGUAAAAAGUAGUUGGUUUCAGAAUACAUUUUAAUGGAAAUGGAAUAGCAGACUGAUGAUUGGAUAAUGGGAAUUGAGGGAAAUCAAGGAAUCCAGAAUGACUUGUAAAUUUUUGUUCUAAGAAAUUGAGUGGAUAAUGAUGGCAUUUACUUAAAUAGCAAAUACUUGUGGAGGUAAAUUCUGGAUAUGUGGGGCAACCAAGGGUUUUGUUGAUGCCAUGUAAACUUUGGCAUGCCAAUUAGAUACGAAGAGAUACUGAGUGGAAAGCUGGAUACUCAGGGGACCACAGUCUUCUGUUUCCUGGAUUUCAGGUCCCUUUUAAACUGAAGCAUAGUGAGAACAAGUGUAAAGCACAACACAGACGGAAGAUUGCACCUUAGCUCACUGCCCCGUGCACCCCGGUUACACCGUCUAAGAAAACACUCUGGAUUCAAUCCUUGGAAAAGUAGGUAGGAAUUUGCUUUUCAUGGAAUUCAAUCUGAAUGGUUUAUAAAAGAAUCAAGUCAGUUAUUCAUGUGGCAGCAUUAUGUGCCCCUAAAUUCUCUGAUUUCCAUUAACUAAUCUCAAGUAAAUAACAAUAGGCAAUGUGUCCAAUAUUUUGAUCUCUCCAAACUAGUAAGAGGCUCAAGAUCAGAAUCAAUUCUUUGCAGAAAUUCCAAUCUCUUCAUCACUAACAUGGUAUUUACUCUCAGUAUGUGCUGAGCUACCACUUCUGGAAGAGUCUUUCCUGGUUAAUUACUUGAAACCUGUUGCAUUGGGAAUUUCUCAGAAAGUCUGCCUUGAUGAGCUUUACUCAAGAGCCGCAACUUCACGGAUCGGACAACAGAAAAGACUUCGGCAGUUACCAAAUCUGAAGUACUCAUUGUGCAUGCUAGCAAUCUGGGACUAAUAAGGUUAAAUUGUCUGAGACCUCAAGGUGGAAGUGACAGGUGGGUCUAGAACUCAAGUUUACCAAUGACAGUCCAGUGUUAUUGUCAUUAUCCUUUAGAAUUGUUCAUUUAUUCAUUCAUCACACACUUAUGAAAGUCCUAUUAUGUAUUAUAUACUAAGCUUGAAGACCAAAACAAAUCAGUAAGAUCCCUAUCUUAAAGACUCUUAGAUCUAGUACAUGACUUAGUAUAGGUGAAGAAUUUUAAUAUAAGACUCAGUAGAUGCUAUAAUAAAAUAAUGAGCAAAACUAUAUAAAAUCCCAGAGAAAGUUGAAACUUAUUCUGUCUUGGAUCUUUGGAAAAUCCUAAAGAAAUUUGCGAACUUUUAUAGGGAGUCUUAUAUAAUGAAGAAACGUUUACUAGGCAGAAAAUGGAGGGAGAGGUAGUUCAGAAAGGGAUAACAACAGAGAAAUUCAAAG
rnacentral:lncRNA from 1 species